UACGUAGGGUCCGAGCGUUGUCCGGAAUUAUUGGGCGUAAAGAGCUCGUAGGCGGUCUGUUGCGUCGGUUGUGAAAACCUGGGGCUCAACUCCAGGCCUGCAAUCGAUACGGGCAGACUAGAGUUCGGUAGGGGAGACUGGAAUUCCUGGUGUAGCGGUGAAAUGCGCAGAUAUCAGGAGGAACACCGGUGGCGAAGGCGGGUUGCUGGGCUGACACUGACGCUGAUGCGCGAAAGCCAGGGGAGCGAACGGG
rnacentral:rRNA from 1 species